GACCGGGAUGAACGUACCUCUGGUGUACCAGUUGUUCCGCCAGGAGCAUCGCUGGGUAGCUAUGUACGUACGGGAUAACCGCUGAAAGCAUCUAAGCGGGAAGCCUCCUUCAAUACCAGGACUCCCUAUCAGAGCCGUGGAAGACCACCACGUUGAUAGGAUGGAUGUGGAAGCAUGGCAACAUGUGAAGCUAACCAUUACUAAUUGCUCGAUUGGCUUGAAUUU
rnacentral:rRNA from 1 species